UGGACGAAUUGAGCAAAGACUGUAAUUACACGCUAACUGGCGCUUCUCAUCCUCAUUAUCUGAUGAGUUAAGUAAAGGUCAAGAAUGAUGAUGAAGGAGCUAACCCACUAGGAAACCCUCAGUCAAGUUGACAAAAACAUCUCACAUAAAGACAAGCUGGAUGGAGAUCGAAUUUUUACCUUGGACCACAAGCUAUAUACAUCCCACACAAU
rnacentral:lncRNA from 1 species